GACAGUGACAGUGACAACUAUUUAAGGUUAUGUUCAGUUUCAGACAAAAAGUUAAAGGCAGUAAAAUCAUGUAAAAACUUUAAACGCAAACUAUUUAUUCGAAGAUUUAAUGACCGAAACACUUACUGGCAACUAUUAAAGUGCAAUAUGUCGACUGUUGAAAUCGAGCCGGGGGCAGCGCCCGAGAGUGUCCUAGUAACAACUGAUACUACCUUAGAUCAUUUUGAACAAAUGAGCUCUAGUCUAGAAGAAAUUAAAUGCACAAAUCAAUCGAACCAUGAAGAAGAACACAAUGAAAACACUAAUAAUGAAAAUUUAGAUGAAUCAAGCAAUGAUAAUGAAACUUUAACCAGUGAAGAAGAUUUUGAGCUGAACAAAGAUUGGAUUAAUAAGGAUAAACAUGUAUUUGUUCUGAGUAUGGCAGGGAAGCCGAUAUAUUCAAGAUAUGGAAAUGAAGAUAAAUUAGCCUGGUUAUUCGGAGUUAUGCAGACUCUAGUUAGUUUUAUUCAGUCUUCAGAUGAUAGUAUACAAAGCAUCCAUACUGGUGAUACCCGUUUUGUUUUUUUGAUUAAAAAACCAUUGAUACUGGUUGCAGUUUCUAAAACCCACGAAAACGACAGUCAAUUAAGGCUACAGUUAAACUAUGUGUUUAAUCAAAUAACAAGCAUUUUAACCCUCACAAGGCUGAAUAAGAUCUAUGAACAAAGACAGAACUAUGAUUUAAGAAGAUUACUAUCAGGAGUUGAGAGACUAAUUGAUCACCUUCUAACAUUCUCCGAAAAUGAACUAUCUGUGAUGCUUGGCGCAGUUCAGUGUCUGUCACUUCCUGCAUCUGUCAGGGACAGUAUUAGUUCAGCUAUUGUAGGAGCGUGUAGCAAAAUCAAGAAUUUAGUCUUUGCGAUCCUCUUAGCAAAUAAUAAACUCAUCACCCUAGUCCGUAUGAAGAAAUACUGCCUUCAUCCAGCAGAUCUACAUUUAAUUUUUAAUUUAGUUCAAGCCUCAGAGAGUUUUAAAAACUCAGAAAGCUGGACUCCACUAUGUCUCCCUAGAUUCGAUGCUAGCGGAUUCCUCUACGGUCAUGUUUCUUACUUAUCCGAAGACUGUCAAGCGUGUUUGUUACUUCUAACAGUGGAAAGGGACGUAUUUUUUACUUUGAGUGAAGCAAAACAGAAGAUCGUAGAAAAAUUAAGAAGAAACAACUGCUUGGAAUCCAUCAACGAAUCACUGGCAGCUCCGGGAUAUAGUUGUGCUAGUGCUGGUUUUGUAGAGAUACGACAUUAUUUGUAUAAAUGUAAGUCCACUGCCCAGUUCUAUCAACCUGUUUUAAGCCCCCCUUAUACUCAAGCGAAGAGCUAUCUGACUGAACUUUACAAGAGAGCUCAUCAAAGACUGCAUAAUUCUACCAAACCACUUAAACUGAUGUUUGAACGAAGUUCGAGGGAGGCGAUUCUUGCCUGGGACACUAAGGGGUUUGAAUUGUUCGUUGUUUUUGAGCCUUUGAUCGAUACAUCGUUAGCGAUUCUCCUGGUUGGUAGGCUUUUAAAUUGGAUUAAAAAACAAGAAGAUAAACUAUUUCACCUAAAUGCACCUACUUUUUAAAUGAAGGUACCUGUUCUCACUUAUUUUAACCUUUGUCAUGGGCAAAUUAUAACUCACACAUUAAACGGUAGAAUAUUUUAUGGACGCCAGCGAAAGGUGAGAAUUUGUGAAUUCUUUUGAGUUUGCCUGUGGAUUCUAUAGUCCACAAUAGAUCUCUAUCCCAUCAUUGUACAAAAAGUGGUGAAUUCUUUUUAGAAUUCGCCCCUUAUAAUAUAACAUAGUACAUUUUGGGAACAUAGAAUAUAUAAUAAAAAUUUUUAAAAGUAUGUAACGUACAAAUAUUGAUAUUAUUUCUAGCUUUAAAUUCAAGAGAAUAUAAAACAACUAGCAUACGAAAUCAAACAAUAUUUAUUUUAAAGCAAUUUAAUCAUCAAUACAUAAAAAUUAAAGAAAACCAUGAAAUCUUGAAAUCACAAAUUGAAACUAUUUGUUUUAAGUCAAUUCGCGGUGUGCAAGUACUUGGAGGGGAUAGGAGAAACGAUCGUGCGCGAAUAGCGGAGAAAUAUUGCAACUUUCUUAAAUAAUUCAUAUUGUCAAUUGAAAUUGUCAAAUUGACAUAUAUUUCAUACCUACUAUCAUUGAAGAAGAAAAAAUAUAUAUUGCUUCACAAUAUUGAUAUGAUAUACAAUUAUUAUAUAAAGGUAAAUUUAAUUAAUUGUAUUUUGCUUGCAGUGCUGCAUUUUAAUAACUAAUUUUAUUUACUACAUACAAUUGUUUACGUUUUAAUAACAUAACCUAAAUCUUAUUUUUUCUUCUUAUUAUUUUUUUGGACUAUGGCCUUGACAAUUAUCCAGUAACCAGGACUAAUAUAAUUGGCUAAUAUAAUUAAAAGUGCGAAUAAUGUUGCUGCGCGUAGAAACCAGGUGUCGCUUUGCCGAACUUGCACGGUCCCAAUAGCAUAAAUAAUUUCAAUGUAAAGCGAAUAAUCUUUAAAUUGUUUUUAUUUAUUUAUAUUUGUUAGUAGUCAGUGUUACCACCCCUAGCCCUUAUACAAGCUACAAUAUGCGUGGGCAUGCACCUAAUCAAAUUGUCAACAUUUUGUUGUAGGUUGCUCCACUCUUCAAGAGCAGCUUGUACUAGCUGUGCGGUGUUUUGUGGAUUAUCCCGGUGAGCUCUAAUGUUUCUGUUAAGCGUAUACUUAAUGCUCUAUAGGGUUAAGGUCGGGUGAGUAAGCAGGCCAUUCCAGACCAGUGUUAUCUUUUUCUUUAAGUAUGUGGAGAUGCAUUAUCAUACGUGGAAAUUAAAUUUUCAUCUUCAGAGCUUAACUCCUGUUCUAGAACCCAUUCAACAUACCUGCGAGCUCCUGUCUCCCUACAUUCGAUGCUAGCGGAUUCCUCUACGGCCUACGGUCAUGUUUCUUACUUAUCCGAAGACUGUCAAGUGUGUUUGUUACUUCUAACAGUGGAAAGGGAUGUAUUUUUUACUUUGAGUGAAGCGAAACAGAAAAUCGUAGAAAAGUUGAGAAGAAACAACUGCUUGGAAUCCAUCAACGAAUUACUGGCAGCUCCGGGAUAUAGUUGUGCGAGUGCUGGUUUUGUAGAGAUACAUUAUUUGUAUAAAUGUAAGUCCACUGCCCAGUUCUAUCAACCUGUUUUAAGCCCCCCUUAUACUCAAGCGAAGAUCUAUCUGACUGAACUUUACAAGGGAGCUCAUCAAAGACUGCAUAAUUCUACCAAACCACUUAAACUUAUGUUUGAACGGAGUUCGAGGGAGGCGAUUCUUGCCUGGGACACUAAGGGGUUUGAAUUGUUCGUUGUUUUUGAGCCUUUGAUCGAUACUUCGUUAGCGAUUCUCCUGGUUGGUAGGCUUUUAAAUUGGAUUAAAAAACAAGAAGAUAAACUAUUUCACCUAAAUGCACCUACUUUUUAAAUGAAGGUACCUGUUCUCACUUGUUUUAACCUUUGUCAUGUGUUGUAUGGGCAAAUUAUAACUUUCGCACAUUAAACAGAACAUUUUUCUGGGCACCAGUGAAUGCUGAAAAUUUGGCUGUAGAUUCUGUAGCUCACAAUUGAUCUCUCUCCCAGUGGCGGAUCCAGCAUCGUCAAGAGGGGGGCCGAUUGACUAAUUUUUUAUGAAAAAUAAAUUAAUAAACGAAUGUAUUUAUAAUCUUUAUAUAUAACUUGGUUUGAAAGGGGGGCCGAUCGCCCUCCCCUGGAUCCGCCACUGCUCUAUCACAUCCUUGUACAAGAAAGUGGCAAAUUAUUUUUAGAAUUAUAACGUAGAGUAUGGUAAAAUGUACAUUCCCAUUUUUGGCACAUAGAAAAAUACUUUCAAGUCCGCCGACACGGCUCCCGUGUUCACACUGUUAUCGAUCAGGUGCCACCGACACGGCCACCGUGUUUACAUUUCUACAAUUUUCUAGUGACUGUAUAAAAGUGGCACAUGAGACAAAUAUCUGAUAUUGCCCGGAGCUGAAAGUGCUAAGCAAGUAUGUACUGCCUAAUUUAGUAAUGUAGGCCCUAAACAAUAAAAAAUCUUACUCUUAUGCUUAUGCCCUUUCUGGAAACUAUUAUGCCUCUUGACGAAGGUUAAAAAUAUUAAAUUAUUAAUUAAAAAAAAAAUCAAAUGUUAAUUCAGUUGAAAUUUAUUUCAAAUAAAAUGGCAAAUAUUAAUAUUACUUGCAGAAAAAAAAACAAUAACAACCAGAAUUGGUUCAAAAAAAUCAUACGAGGACACUAAUGUUUAACAAAAAUAUACAGUUUAUUUCAACUUUUGAAGUUUUUCUCUUGUAGCAUUUUAAUAACAUUUACUCUUUGAUAGGAACUAACCACAAUGUCUGUUUAAAAUCGUUUCAAUUUCCACUUCACCCUCCUCUGUGGCUAAGCGGUAAGAGUGCCUACUUUUGGAUCCAAGGGUUGUGAGCUCGAAUCCCAGCUGAAUAGGAAAUUUGUCUUUAUUAAACAUUAAUAAAUGAAAAUAAUUUCUAUCCUAAUGGGAUCGGUAGGUAUUCACCGGAGGGGCCGCAGAUGUUCGGAUAACAAUUAGUGUCUCUUUGUAAAGACAAUGAAGUCGACUUCACUAAGUAACAAGACAUUUACACACACUAUCUGAUUUCCAAAUCAACUGUACCAUGUAAAUGGCUUUAGUUGUCGAUGCAUUUAAGAAUCCAUUUCUUAUGAAUGAUUAUAAUAUUAAAAAACUAACAAUACAUAAAAUUCUUCAUCUUGGAUCUGUACAAUGACUGUAACUUGCUUUGCUAUAAUCUAAAGUUUUAGUAGCUAAAAGUCUUACAAACAAAUUAUAUGCUUUUUUAUCAAAAAUAUCCGUUUAUAAUAAUUGCCAUAAAUAUUUCGAUUAUAAUAAGGUUCACUUUUAAAGCUGGUAGUGUUUCCUUUAAUUUGAGUUAUUAUAAAGUGAUUUUACUCUAAAUGCAACUGAGUUACAAGUGAAAAGUCGCCUAAAUGUCGUAAUUUUGCAAUGUUUUUGCACUAAUUUUACAAUAUCUUCAGUUCUAAUGAUUGGAUAAAGUUUUACCAAACAUCCUUUUGUAGGUUUUUUAAGAAACAAAUUUUGCAUUUUGUAAAAAUUAUUUAUAUUGUAUUAGUUUACGAAUUAGAAUCAGUUAAACAAUUAAAUUGUUAUAUAACAAAUUAUUAUCUAUUAAAUUGAUUAUCCCUCAUUGUUUGACUGCUGCCCAAAAAAAGAUGGAAUAUUUACUGUUUAAUUUGAAAUAAUAUGAAAUGUAUGUAUAAUAACUAGAUAAAUGCACCUUCGCAGUAAAUACAGAUUAUAGUGUAAUGUCUAUUUGACAAGCCUACGUCCUUUAUUUCGUCCCUCCAAAUUUCACUAAUUGUAUAAAUAUAGCCGUUCAGAAGAUACAAAGGGGGAGAGGACUGCUGGCUAGCACUGUAUACACAUGCUAUAUUUUGGCCAUCCAUAAUAAGUUGGGCAGUAUUAUUUGGUUUUUUUGGUAAAGAUUAGAAACUUCUUGUGUCCAAAAAUUCAUAUUUAAGCCAUAAUGUAAACUGGACUUAUAAACUUUUUGGACUUUUCUCAGUUUUCUCUGCAAAUCUACAAUAUUCUUUGCCAUUAUCACAGUGUCAUCUGUAUACCUGAUAUCUCUUUUUAAAAGAUAAUUCCUUUGCAAUUAUUUUAAUUAGAUAAUUUUAGCUUUGACAUAUCAUGUUUAAAUAUUAAAUUGUUAUGUAAUCUGUAUUAUACUGUGCAUUAGGUUUGAAUUAAAAAAAUAUGUAUAUAUGUGUUGAAAUUUUGUAAAAAAUAUAUAUUGAACUAUGUAGUGAAGAUAAUAGAUUAUUCUAAGCUGUGAUAAUCACAUUCUUACUCCAAUUAUUUUUUGUUUUAGUUUCAUUUAAAAAUAAAUAAUAAAAGAGUG